GUGUUGUCUUACUGGGAUUUCUACCAGUAGCACUUCUCUUUUGCUUUGGGUGGGAGAUCUUCCUGUGUGGGAAUUAUACGCAAAAGGAGAAACUGACACCACAUUCAAAAUUUGCUGGGGAAUUUUGAAAUUAAAAAAAUAGGAAAUUUCAAAAUAAUGACAUUUACAGAUUUCACUUCAAAAUUCAUAUAUGAAAGUAUGGCUUUCAAAAAAAACAGAGCUUCCAUUUUAAGUUAAGUCAGUGCUGGGCAUAGGUAGGAUUUAUGUUGUGGGAGGGACCAGAUUUAAGUUAGAAGGGACAGAACUGAGGUAUCUGUGACACGACUGGUCAGUUAAGAAUUUUUAUUUAUUGACUAGAUUUAGGGGGGCAGCUGCCUCACCAUCCCCUUUGGCUGUGCCCAUGAUGUCAGUAAAUUUCAAGGCAACAGUGUCAUGUGCGAGCUUGCUGGGCUUACCUUACAAAAUUUUGAAAAUUUGAUGGCUAGAUUUGACCUAAAAAAAUGGACAUACGGGUUUCAGUGUUGAAGCUUGAACUCAGCAUUAUAGCUGUGUCUGUUUCAGUAAAGGUAAAGGGACCCCUGACCAUUAGGUCCAGUCGUGGCCGACUCUGGGGCUGCGGUGCUCAUCUCGCUUUAUUGGCCGAGGGAGCCGGCGUACAGCUUCCGGGUCAUGUGGCCAGCAUGACUAAGCCGCUUCUGGCGAGCCGCUUUCGAGCAGCGCACGAAAACGCCAUUUACCUUCCUGCCGGAGCAGUACCUAUUUAUCUACUUGCACUUUGACGUGCUUUCGAACUGCUAGGUUGGCAGGAGCUGGGACCGAGCAAUGGGAGCUCACCCGUCACGGGGAUUCGAACCGCCGACCUUCUGAUCGGCAAGUCCUAGGCUCUGUGGUUUAACCCACAGCACCACCCGCAUCCCUUCAUCUGUUUCAGUGGGUUUAAUUAAUUACUUUAAUAUUUAACAGGGGUGGGUGAACCUUAGGCUUUGGCUGUGGCGUAGGAAGGGGGGUGCGGGAGUGCAGACUGCCCCGGGUGUCAUCACUGGGGGGGUGGGUGUGAAAAAAUGGCAAAAACAUGUUUUUGGAAAAAUAACUUCCGCACCCACUACACCCCCCCUUCCUACACCGCUGCAGGAGCACUGAGUGAUUUCCAGAAACCAGUUGCUGCCUCCAACUUUGCAGGCAGAGCGCUGCCUUUAUGGCCAGUAGCCUGCAACAGCCCUCUCCUCCAUGAAUCUGCCUAAUCCAGAGGCAUAGCUAAGUGUGGCGGGGGGCACUGGGCGCCACACCCGCAGGGCCUGCAGCAUGCCUGAGCCACACGUCUCUGCUGAAGGGGAGGCGGCUGGUGGACUGUCUGCAAGCUAUACAUUGCUUUUUCGAUCAGCGCAGGGCUUGCGUCUGCCCACCGCCUCAGCCGCCCUACAGCUGAGGGGGAGGUUGUGGAGAAGCUCCACGCAGCACACUCUGCCUUGACUCACCUCGCCCCCAUGGGUGGCUCGUUCUGCCCCUGGCCGCAGGGUGCGCAUGCCCCCCUGGGCACCCGAGCGGCUAGCAACGCUGCUAAGCUUUGUUGGCCAAAUGUGGCCUUUUAGAGUUCUAUAAAAUUUCUAUAAGAUUUCUAUAGGAUUUCCAUUCUGAAGGAAAUCCAUUCUGAAGGAAAUCAGCCCUGAGUGCUCACUGGAAGGACAGAUCCUGAAGCUGAGGCUCCAAUACUUUGGCCACCUCACGAGAAGAGAAGACUCCCUGGAAAAGACCCUGAUGUUGGGAAAGAUGGAGGGCACAAGGAGAAGGGGACGACAGAGGACGAGAUGGCUGGACAAUGUUCUCGAAGCUACAAACAUGAGUAUGACCAAACUACAGGAGGCAGUGGAAGACAGGAGUGCCUGGCAUGCUCUGGUCCAUGGGGUCACGAAGAGUCGGACACGACUAAACAACAAAACAACAAGAUUUUGUAUGUAGACCAAAACCAACCCCUUCGCCUUGACUAAUUGGCAGCCAGUGCAGCUCCUUCAGCAUGGUGUGUGUGUGUUAGGGUGCUCCACUGGACAACUUAGCAGCUUCCUUCUGCUCCAGCUGCAGCUUCCACGACAAUUUUAAUGGAGCGCCAUCAAAGCACAUUAGAAUAACCCAGCCUUAAGGUUACCAACACAUGGAUCGCGGCAGCAGGGCUAUCCCUCUCUAGGAAUGGUUAUAGUGGGUGUUCCAGCCAAAACUGGCAUUGGAUCCUUGCUGUUGAAGUCACUUGGGCCUCCAAUGACAGAGUUGGAUCCAGGAGUGCCCUGGAUCAUGUACAGUACCAAUCUCUUGGGCAUGAUUUGUGGAAAGGUGAGCCAUUUUCUUAUUCCACAGAAAACACUUCUUUCCCAAAGGUAGCUUAAGCGUGAAAGAUCUUGCGGAUACUUUCAUAUGUUGUUUACGCCACACUGAUGUGCAAAGCAAUGGUUUUAUAGAGAUUUCAAUGGUUUAUGAUAGGGCUGACAUUGUUCCAUGGUGUAGUAGUAGUAAUAAUAAUAAUAAUAAUAAUAAUAAUAAUAAUAAUAAUAUUUUUAUUUAUAAUAUUUUUAUUUAUACCCCGCCCUCCCCAGCCAAGGCCGGGCUCAGGGCGGCUAAUGAGCAAUAAUAAAAACAAGUUGAAUGAAUACAACUUAAAAACAAGAUUAAAAUGCAACAAUUAAAAUAUUGAAAGAUUAAAAUAUUAAAAUGCAGCCUCAUCACAGGAGGAGAAAGGAAAAAGAGGGGGAGGGAAUCAAAUUGGCUCCAAGCCAAAGGCCAGGUGGAACAACUCUGUCUUACAGGCCCUGCGGAAAGAAAUCAGAUCCCGCAGGGCCCUGGUCUCAUGAGACAGAGCGUUCCACCAGGCUGGAGCCAGUGUUGAAAAGGCCCUGGCUCUGGUUGAGGCUAAUCUAACUUCCUUAGGGCCCAGGACCACUAGGGUGUUGCUAUUUAUGGACCUUGAGGCAUACCGGGAGAAGUGGUCCCGUAAGUACGAGGGUCCUAGGCCGUGAAGGGCUUUAAAGGUCAAAACCAGCACCUUAAAUCUGACCCUGUACUCCACCGGGAGCCAGUGCAGCUGUACACAGUGUACACAGAUUGGCACACAUUUGUUUAUUUUGUAAUGCUACAAUCUCAGGUCAAACAAGUUCAGCAGGUUUUUGAAGCGCCAAAACCUAUUUUGCCCAAGAUUGUCAUGGGCCAGAAAACACACACACACACACACACACACACACACACACACACACCAUGAGUUCCCUCUUACUACCUGUAGUAGUUGUUGUUGCUGCUGCUGCAGUUGUGUGUGGAUUGCUUAUAUCUUGUGAUAAUCUCGUCAAGUGUGAAGUAUGGCACUUGUGUUCAUUUUGCUAUGGAUGCACAGAAUGGGCAACCAACACAGUUUACACCUUGCAGAAUGCUACACUCUCUGCAUAAAAACCUUUUCACGUGAAGAUUCUUGUAGGGGGCGGGUAUCAUCUCUGGGGUAACUUUGCUGUAGCUUGAAGAUGAUGUGCUAGCCUAGACUCUGACUUACAGGCAAACGAUGCCCUCUAAUGUACACUUGUGGUAUUCAAUCAUAUCUAGAACUGAAACCAAGAUGUUGUGCUUUCCCACUCAGCGUUGAUCACCACCCCACCCAAAAUAUGAUCAGAGAGCUCAACGGGAGCCAAGUCUCAACUGCAAACUCAGUUUCCCAAGCCAGACAGUAGUGAAAGAGCACACAUUCAAUGAGAGUUCCACCACAAACUUGAACCUUUUUAACAAACAGGCUCCCCAACUUCCCUAAGUGGCAAGAACUUCCAGGGUCGGUGUCACCCCAUGUUUCCUUCCCUUUGGGCAAGAGAGCACUGAUGAUGGGUGGCUUUUAUUUGUAAUAUUUGCUUUUAUUUGCAUAUAAAGUGGGACCGUCAACAGAUUGUAAGGUGUGGCUGUUUAGGCUUCUAGCCACCCCAGUCUAUCCACCACUCACAUCAUGUGGCCCCUGGAAGGUUGCCCAAUUGAGAAUGUGGCCCUUGGCUGGAGAAUGGGUUCACCAUCAGAGGAAUUCACCACCCUAUUUGUUUCUGUUUGUGACUAACUGCUCUGAGCGUGCCUCUGGAAUGGAAAGAGGCAAGACCAAGGAAGUGACUCAUUCCAAGAUGCAAAAAGGUCAAAUUUCAGCUAUGAAUCAUAGAUGUGAAUCAUACCUCUGGAAGCAACACUAGAGGUUCCCAUUUGGGUCAAAUCAGGGUUUCUAUCUCCGACUUGAGAGUGGUGAACUUUCCUGAGGCCUAAGAGUCACAAAAUGGCAGUGUGGGGACGGAGACCAUGACAAAACAAUGGCAGAUGGCAGCAAAGUUUGGCAUAGUGAAUUGCCCAUUAUUGACAUUGCUGAUCAGGUAUAGGGGUGAAGAAAGGAGACAGUAUUGGCAAAACCUAUUGGUGUUUCGCAACUUUCCAACUAGUUGCAGGACCUUAGCCAGACCUAGCAGAGUACACACAGAAUCCACGGAAGCAAUUGGCAACUUGGCUGCAGACAGGAUAGACGAAGCAGGAACCAGGAACUUGUAGUUAGGUGUUUAUUAUAUACAGUGGACUAUUUACAGGAACAGAACACAUAUCUUUUGCUAGCUCUCUCUGACACGACUCACAACUCCUACACUGACACACAGAACUCUGAACCUCUGAACUCUGAACUAACGCAUUCCAGUUAGUAGGCCAUUAAUUAUCACUCCCUUGAGAGAGCUUGACCAAUCAGGGAACUCUCUCCAUGUCUCUGUUAUCACCAGGCAGACUUACUCCUUAUGUUUGCCUUCUGGCUUUCUGCCAAACCUUAAUUGACUCUGUGUGAGUAGCUGCACAUGCACAGUUUCCCAACAACAGGAAGAAUUUUUCCUCUCUUUCUCCUAAAGCUAGGUAUCAGGGCCCUUCAGUGAAGCUGAACUUUGGAUGAUUCAGGACAAAAAAAAGAAAUUACUUCCUUCACACAGCACAUAGUUAAACUGUGGAACUCUGUGAUGACCACUAACUAAUCCUUUAAAAAGGAUUAGACAGAUCCAUGGAGGUAAAGGCUAUCGAGGGCAAUGUUACUGCCAGCGGCAGUAUUCACCUAAGUAUCAGUUGUGGGAGUUAAAUGUUUGAGAAGUACAGGUCUCUAGGCUGGCUUCUGAGAACAGAAGGAUACUGUGCUGGUCCCAAGGGUUAACCAUGCGGCGAGGUCCAAGUCCAGUCCGAGGUCGAGGGUGUGGUAUGGAGGCUGUCCGUCAAGGCUGAAGCGGGGUCCAAGGCAGGGAGUCGGGUGAGGUCAGGAACUCUGGCAGAAGAGCAGGACAGGGUGCAGGCAGGAACAGGCUACCAACAAUGUUGCUCCCGCAACCUGGGACUGGGCUGGCUGGCUUUUAUCUGCCCCGAGGCAUAGGGUGGUUCCGAUCCACAGGUGACUCACCUCUCCUGGCCUGGAGGCGAGCACUCCUCCUGCGAGAACUUAGUUCCCUCCGCCUCUCUGCCCUGAGCCUCUGCAGCUCAGGAGAGGCUGGAGGGUUACUGGACCCAGAGGCAACCUCACCUUCCCCUGAUGGGGCUGAGAGUGGAGCACCUGCAGGCAAUGGGCCUUCCAUCACCUCAGGGGCCAGAGCAGACUCAGCUGGUGCCUGCACCUGGGGAUCCAGCACAGGUGCGGGCCCUUCAGGCUCAAGUCCCAGCCCGGGCUCAGCUGGUUCUGGAGGCGGGGACUCCUGUGCAGGCUGGGAUUCCUCAGGUUCAGCCUCCGAGUCCGAAUCCCAAGCCAUCACAGAUGGCCUAGACAGGCCUUUGGCCUAAUCCAACAGGACUUUUCUUAUUGACUUAUUAUUUUCCACUGAUAUCUAUUUCCCUUUGGAAAUACUUCAUUCUUUACUGCAGUGACCAACUUCUUUGUUCUCCCCUUUCCUUCCUUUUCUCCCCUCCCAUUUUGCCUGGGACAGACAGACUCCUACCUUGCUCUCUAGCCAAGCACCUACUCUCAUGAACCUAUGUGCUGUGCAUGCAAAGAGCUAUUGGCACUGGUGUUGGUUCAACUGAAAGGCAAAGUCAUCUCAGUGAAGCCCACCAGAAAGAGGGUGAACAUAGUGGUCCUCAGCCUCCAGCUUUGAGAAACGUUGGGUUAAAUAGUCCAUCCCCAUGUUCUGUGUCCCUCUGUUGGGAAAGAAUCUGCUCUGGAUCCACACAGUUCAUUGCACUACAGUGCCUGCCACUGAGUCAGCCAGAAAUAACCCACUUUUGAAUAGUGGAAGUUUGUCUUCAGCACCAAGGACAGCACCUACCAAUUUAUGCCAAGAUCAAUUGCGACAGGGACCCAAAGGAUAGCAACAUUUCAAUUCUGCAC
rnacentral:lncRNA from 1 species